rnacentral:rRNA from 1 species
GAUGAACGCUGGCGGCGUGCCUAAUACAUGCAAGUCGAGCGAACGGACGAGAAGCUUGCUUCUCUGAUGUUAGCGGCGGACGGGUGAGUAACACGUGGAUAACCUACCUAUAAGACUGGGAUAACUUGGGGAAACCGGAGCUAAUACCGGAUAAUAUUUUGAACCGCAUGGUUCAAAAGUGAAAGACGGUCUUGCUGUCACUUAUAGAUGGAUCCGCGCUGCAUUAGCUAGUUGGUAAGGUAACGGCUUACCAAGGCAACGAUGCAUAGCCGACCUGAGAGGGGGAACAGCCAAAAAGGGAAUGAGGAAAGGGUCAAGACCCUAAGGGGAGGAAGCAGUAGGGAAUCUUCCGAAAGGGGGGAAAGCUGGACGGAGAAACGCGGCGUGAGUAAGGAAGGUUUUCGGAUCGUAAAACUCUGUUAUUAGGGAAGAAAAUAUGUGUAAGUAACUGUGAACAUUUGAAGGGAACCAAUCAGAAAGCCACGGCUAACUACGUG